rnacentral:lncRNA from 1 species
AGAAGAAAGGCGGCGGCGGCGGCGGUGAUGGGAAUGGUGGCGGGGGCGGCGGCGGUGAUGCUGCAGCCAAAAUGGAAGGGAAUAGAAUGGAGUAUGUACCUGGAUAUGGAUUUGGACCGGGUUAUGGGUAUGGUUACAUGAGUCAACCUAUGCCUGUCUAUGGGAACGGGUACAUGGGUCAACCUGUACCUGUUCCUGUGCCUGUAUAUGGAAACGGGUAUAUGGGACCGGCUCCUCAGCCUGUGUAUGAGUACGGGUACGGGUAUGGGCAUGGACAAGUCCCGGGUUAUCCAGUGCACAUGAAGUUUAAUGAUGAGAACCCAAAUGCCUGCUCUAUAAUGUGAGGUGAAUUGAAGUGUUUUGAGGAGUUAUUUACUUAAUUAAUAGAAGUGGGGAAAAAAAAAGC